rnacentral:rRNA from 1 species
UACGUAGGGGGCUAGCGUUGUCCGGAUUUAUUGGGCGUAAAGAGCGUGUAGGCGGCCAUACAGGUCCGUUGUGAAAACUGGAGGCUUAACCUCCAGACGUCGAUGGAAACCGUAUGGCUAGAGUCCGGAAGAGGAGAGUGGAAUUCCUGGUGUAGCGGUGAAAUGCGCAGAUAUCAGGAAGAACACCAGUGGCGAAGGCGGCUCACUGGCCCGGUACUGACGCUGAGGUGCGAAAGCGUGGGGAGCAAACAGG